rnacentral:rRNA from 1 species
UUAGAGUUUGAUCCUGGCUCAGGAUGAACGCUGGCGGCGUGCUUUAUNCNUNCAAGUCGAACGAGAAGGGAAGGACUUCGGUCCGACCUGGAGAGUGGCGAACGGGUGAGUAACACGUGAGUGACCUGCCCCGAGGUGGGGGACAACCGUGGGAAACCACGGCUAAUACCCCGUAGUCCUGUGCGUAUUGGUUGCGUACAGGUAUAGCUCCGGCGCCUUGGGAGGGGCUCGCGGUCGAUUAGCUAGUUGGUGGGGUAACGGCCUACCAAGGCGACNAUCGAUAGCUGGUCUGAGAGGACNAUCANCCACACUGGGACUGAGAUACGGCCCANACUCCUACGGGAGGCAGCAGUAAGGGAUAUUGCACAAUGGACGGAAGUCUGAUGCAGCGACNCCGCGUGGGCNAAGAAGGUUUUCGGAUCGUAAAGUCCUUUUCUAUGUGACGAGAUAGGACGGUAGCAUAGGAAUAAGUGUCGGCUAACUACGUGCCAGCAGCCGCGGUAAAACGUAGGACGCGAACGUUAUCCGGGAGUUACUGGGGCGUAAAGCGCGCGCAGGCGGUGAGUUAAGUUACCUAUGAAAGGUACCGGCUAAACUGGUAUAAGUUAGGUGAAACUGGCUUACUAGAGAGAAAUAGAGGGUAGUAGAAUUCCGGGUGUAGUGGUGAAAUGCGUAGAUAUCCGGAGGAAUACCGGUGGCGAAGGCGGCUACCUGGAUUUCCACUGACGCUGAGGCGCGAAAGCGUGGGUAGCGAACGGGAUUAGAAACCCCGGUAGUCCACGCCGUAAACGAUGUACAUUAGGCGUUCGGUCACGUUGAGUGGUUGAGUGUCGCAGCAAACGCGAUAAAUGUACCGCCUGGGGAGUACGGUCGCAAGGCUAAAACUCAAAGGAAUUGACGGGGGCCCGCACAAGCAGCGGAGCGUGUGGUUUAAUUCGAGGCUACGCGAAGAACCUUACCUGGGAGUGACAUGGUGGUAGUACGGAAGCGAAAGCGGAAGGACCCUUCGGGGAGCCGCCACAGGUGCUGCAUGGUUGUCGUCAGCUCGUGCCGUGAGGUGUUCGGUUAAGUCCGCAAACGAGCGCAACCCUCGGUGCUAGUUAUACGUGUCUAGCAUGACUGCCCAUGACAAAUGGGAGGAAGGUGGGGAUGACGUCAAAUCAGCAUGGCCUUAAUAUCCAGGGCGACACACACGCUACAAUGGUCGGUACAAUGGGUAGCGAAGGGGCGACUUGGAGCCAAUCCUUGAAAGCCGAUCUCAGUUCGGAUUGCAGGCUGCAACUCGCCUGCAUGAAGUCGGAGUUGCUAGUAACCGCGAAUCAGCACGUUGCGGUGAAUACGUUCCCGGGCCUUGUACACACCGCCCG